rnacentral:tRNA from 1 species
GUGGACGUAGCUCAACCGGUAGAGCCCUUGGUUGUGGUCCAAGUGGUUGCGGGUUCAAGUCCCGUCGUCCACCCCA